AUUGAACGCUGGCGGCAGGCCUAACACAUGCAAGUCGAGCGGAUGAAGGGAGCUUGCUCCUGGAUUCAGCGGCGGACGGGUGAGUAAUGCCUAGGAAUCUGCCUGGUAGUGGGGGAUAACGUCCGGAAACGGGCGCUAAUACCGCAUACGUCCUGAGGGAGAAAGUGGGGGAUCUUCGGACCUCACGCUAUCAGAUGAGCCUAGGUCGGAUUAGCUAGUUGGUGGGGUAAAGGCCUACCAAGGCGACGAUCCGUAACUGGUCUGAGAGGAUGAUCAGUCACACUGGAACUGAGCCACGGUCCAGACUCCUACGGGAGGCAGCAGUGGGGAAUAUUGGACAAUGGGCGCAAGCCUGAUCCAGCCAUGCCGCGUGUGUGAAGAAGGUCUUCGGAUUGUAAAGCACUUUAAGUUGGGAGGAAGGGCAGUAAGUUAAUACCUUGCUGUUUUGACGUUACCCACAGAAUAAGCACCGGCUAACUUCGUG
rnacentral:rRNA from 1 species